CCUACGGGCGGCAGCAGUGAGGAAUAUUGGUCAAUGGGCUUACGCCUGAACCAGCCAAGUCGCGUGAGGGAAGACUGCCCUAUGGGUUGUAAACCUCUUUUGUCAGGGAGCAACGCCGGCUACGUGUAGCCGGACUGAGAGUACCUGAAGAAAAAGCAUCGGCUAACUCCGUGCCAGCAGCCGCGGUAAUACGGAGGAUGCGAGCGUUAUCCGGAUUUAUUGGGUUUAAAGGGUGCGUAGGCGGAAUGCCAAGUCAGCGGUAAAAUCGCGGGGCUCAACCUCGCUCCGCCGUUGAAACUGGAGGCCUUGAGUGCACACAGGGAUGCCGGAAUUCAUGGUGUAGCGGUGAAAUGCUUAGAUAUCACGCAGAACCCCGAUUGCGAAGGCAGCCUGCCAAGCCAUGACUGACGCUGAUGCACGAAAGCGUGGGGAUCAAACAGGAUUAGAUACCCCUGUAGUC
rnacentral:rRNA from 1 species